GUACGGGAGGCAGCAGUGGGGGAUCUUGGACAAUGGGGGCAACCCUGAUCCAGCGAUGCCGCGUGGGUGAAGAAGGCCUUCGGGUUGUAAAGCCCUUUAGGCUGGGAAGAAGAAUGCGGGGUGAAUAAUCCUGUAUUUUGACGGUACCAGCAGAAUAAGCACCGGCAAACUCUGUGCCAGCAGCCGCGGUAAUACAGAGGGUGCGAGCGUUAAUCGGAUUUACUGGGCGUAAAGGGCGCGUAGGUGGUUAUGUGAGUGUGAUGUGAAAGCCCCGGGCUCAACCUGGGAAGUGCAUCGCAAACGACAUAACUGGAGUAGGUGAGAGGGUGGCGGAAUUUCCGGUGUAGCGGUGAAAUGCGUAGAGAUCGGAAGGAACGUCAAAGGCGAAGGCAGCCACCUGGUACCAUACUGACACUGAGGCGCGAAAGCGUGGGGAGCAAACAGGAUUAGAUACCCGCGUAGUCC
rnacentral:rRNA from 1 species